AUUGAACGCUGGCGGCAUGCCUUACACAUGCAAGUCGAACGGCAGCACGGGAGCAAUCCUGGUGGCGAGUGGCGAACGGGUGAGUAAUAUAUCGGAACGUGCCCAGUCGUGGGGAUAACGUAGCGAAAGCUACGCUAAUAUCGCAUACGAUCUAUGGAUGAAAGCGGGGGAUCGCAAGACCUCGCGCGAUUGGAGCGGCCGAUAUCAGAUUAGGUAGUCGGUGAGGUAAAGGCUCACCAAGCCGACGAUCUGUAGCUGGUCUGAGAGGACGACCAGCCACACUGGGACUGAGACACGGCCCAGACUCCUACGGGAGGCAGCAGUGGGGAAUUUUGGACAAUGGGCGCAAGCCUGAUCCAGCAAUGCCGCCGUGCAGGAUGAA
rnacentral:rRNA from 1 species